GAGGAGGCCGAGGGAGAGGACGUGGAGGUGAAGAAGUUGGAGGAAGAGAACGUGGAGUUGAAGAAGCGAGAGGGUUAGAGGAAGUUAGAGGUAGAGGACAAGGAGGAGCAAGAAGAGGACGAGGAGGGGAAAGAGGAAGGGUAAGAAGAGUAAGAAAUAGAAUAACUGAUGACAUCAGAGCUACAAUAGUGGACCAUGUCAUCAACCAUGGGAUGACCCUGAGGGAAGCUGGCCAACGGGUUCAGCCUAAUUUGAGCCGCUACACUGUGGCAAGCAUCAUUAGGACAUUUCGAAACGAGAAUCGAAUAAGAAUGAAGCAAAUUUACAGAGUUCCUUUCGAGAGAAACACAGAACGUGUAAAGCAACUGCGAUAUGACUAUGUGCAGAGAGUGAUGGAACUAGAAGCAGAUGCCUUGGGACAUGAGCUACUUUUUGUAGAUGAGGCCGGUUUUAACCUCAGUAAAACCAGGAGACGUGGCAGGAACAUUACUGGACACCGUGCCAUCAUCAAUGUCCCAGGACAACGUGGUGGUAACAUAACCAUGUGUGCAGCUAUAAGCCAAAAUGGUGUUGUUCACCAUCAUGCAACCAUAGGCCCAUACAACACUGCACACAUUAUUGCAUUCCUGGACAC
ensembl:lncRNA